rnacentral:rRNA from 1 species
AUGGUGGCUAUGGGUAUGGGUUCCACAAAGCGUGGCGUUGUGUGGUGCGCCGGCCUGCUCGUCACCGGGCUUCUCCUCGUGGCGGCGGAGGCAGAUUUCUGCUCCGAGGACUGCCGUGGCAAGACCGAUUUCUUGGGCCGCGCCCGUCGGUGCAGAUCUCAGCUUGAGGUUGCACGGCCGACGAACUGCGUCGCCCUCUGCCAUGGCAAGCCGAACUUCAUGGCCUGCUGCAAUCGCCAUCGGUAUGCCCGACGAGUGACUCCGCAUCUGCAGCGUCGGGCCGGCAGGGAAUCCACAACGCAUGAAGAAGAAGCAAGAGGAGGAGCAGUUGGUGUCCUGAAGGCGCCGGCCCCGGCGCCGUGUGAGGUGGUCUGCCGUGACCGGGUGGGCUGGGUGGAGUACGAGCGCUGCCUCGAUCGCUGCCGAUGGGGAGCGUUUGUCCGACGAGCGCUUCUUCAUCUUAAGCUUGCCGGCAGGCAAUCGGCGACACAUGAAGAAGCAAGAGGAGGAGGAAGAGGGGAAGCUCACAUCCUGACGGCGAUGGCGGCGCGGCUCUCGGAUCCAUGCCAGGACAUGUGCCAUAACCACAAGCACUAUGACUGGUGCGUCCGUCGCUGCCGGUUUGGGCCGCAUCUUAGGCUUGCCGGUGGCGGUGGGGAAUCAGAAGAAGCAAGCGGAGGAGGAGUUGAUGUACUGACGGCGACGGCAGCGGGGGCGGCGGCUGACCCACGUAUAUGCGAGGAUUUCUGCCGUAACUGGCCGGCGCCGGAACACGAUUGGUGCCUCGACUUCUGCCUGGCUGGAGACUAUGUACAACGAGCGCCUCUGCAUCUUAAGCUUGCCGGCGGUGAGUCAACGACAGAAGAAGAAGAAGGAGAAGGAAGCGGAGGAGCGGUUGAUGUCCCUCAGGCAGCGGCGGCGGCGGCGGCAGCGCAGGUGCAGCAUGAGGCUGUCGCAGGAACACAGCCGAUGAAAAAUACGGACCCGUGCGAUGACUACUGCAUGGAGCAAACUCGCUACUUUCCCAGGCCCGGGCAGUUCUUCGAUUGCGUCGAGGAGUGCCACGCUGGUCAUGGUCGGCUCGCCGGCGACGGCAGGAAUGUGAUCCCGGCGGCGGCGGCGCAACAUGAGGCUGCUGCAGGAGCGCAGCCGGCGAAUACCGACCCGUGCGAGGCCUACUGCAAAUGGCAUGCUCGGGAUUUCCCCGCCAAGUACACAGCCUGCGUGCGCCAGUGCCAGUCCGGUGGCCACCCCGGCGACGGCGCCCGUGUCAAGCAGGAACGCCACAAGAAGGUCGGCGAGGUCCAUCUUGGCCGUGGCACCGGCAAGAUAGCCAUCCAAUAG